rnacentral:ribozyme from 1 species
UCUCUUUUCUUUCCUUUUCUUUCUCUCUCUUUGCCUACCCCUGAGAAUCGAAACAAAUCAUGCACAAAAUGUCGAAAGUAAAUGACUGAAGAAGAAAGGGAAAUGAAGAGACAAGAAGGUGAGAUCUCCUGCUAUCACAUUAUUGAUAGAAAUUAGGGCAACGCAGUAAAUUGUGAGAGAAACAAAU